GUUGAGAUAGCUCAGUUAGUAGAGCACCGGACUCCUGACCUCAGGGUCAUGGGUUUGAACCCCAUGUUGGGCA